GGAUGUGAGGGCAAUCUGGCUGUGAAGUCUGUCAACCCAUUGAUCGCCAGGGUUGAUUCGGCUGAUCUGGCUGGCUAGGUAGGUGUCCCCUUCCUCCCUCACCACUCCAUGUGCGUCCCUCCCGAAGCUGCACAUUUGGUCAAAGAGGACAACAAUCCCUGAUAGAGGAGGACCAGUCUUCAGUCAAGGGUAUACGAGUAGCUGCACUCUCCUGCUAGAACCUCCCAACAAGCUCUCAAAUUAUCUCUAAUUUCUUAACUUUUCUAUAGUGAAUUAUGUGUUACCUUUGUAGUAAAAAAUUGUAAAUAACAAUAAAGAUUACUGCAGAA
rfam:Pan troglodytes isolate Yerkes chimp pedigree #C0471 (Clint) chromosome 12, whole genome shotgun sequence.